UACGUAGGGUGCAAGCGUUAAUCGGAAUUACUGGGCGUAAAGCGUGCGCAGGCGGUCAUGCAAGACAGAUGUGAAAUCCCCGGGCUCAACCUGGGAACUGCAUUUGUGACUGCAUGGCUGGAGUGCGGCAGAGGGGGAUGGAAUUCCGCGUGUAGCAGUGAAAUGCGUAGAUAUGCGGAGGAACACCGAUGGCGAAGGCAGCCCCCUGGGCUAGCACUGACGCUCAGGCACGAAAGCGUGGGGAGCAAACAGG
rnacentral:rRNA from 1 species